ACAUUUCUUGAGAUUGAAGCCUCGCUCUCGAUGGGUACGUCACCUAUUACUGAAAGAAUAAUGUAAGCACUGGUGUGGAGUCCUCCACUCAUUUCGCGCGGAGGCCUUACUUUUCUAGAGAAUAAGACCUUGUUGCGGCAUUGCAUUAUUGAAGAUAAGGCUAACCCCACCAAUAAAUAUAAAUUUCCAUCCAAACCAUAAAAUCUAAGAAAACUUACCAAAAACGACCUAAACAGAUUGCAUCUGAUAUAUAAAUCCCAUAUACUUUUUUGUGUUUUAAGAUGACCCUCACAAAGAUCAAUUAUAUAAAUGCUUUCAAAAAUACUUGAGAAUAAUUUUGUUCAAACCUUGUUGACCUCACCAUCACUCUCGGCGGAGGCUA
rnacentral:lncRNA from 1 species